rnacentral:rRNA from 1 species
AAAAGGGUGGUAAUGCCGGAUGCUCCAUYWSAYYGCAUGGUGUKUUGGGAAAGCCUUUGCGGCAUGGGAUGGGGUCGCGUCCUAUCAGCUUGAUGGCGGGGUAACGGCCCACCAUGGCUUCGACGGGUAGCCGGCCUGAGAGGGCGACCGGCCACAUUGGGACUGAGAUACGGCCCAGACUCCUACGGGAGGCAGCAGUGGGGAAUAUUGCACAAUGGGCGCAAGCCUGAUGCAGCGACGCCGCGUGAGGGAUGGAGGCCUUCGGGUUGUAAACCUCUUUUGUUAGGGAGCAAGGCAUUUUGUGUUGAGUGUACCUUUCGAAUAAGCACCGGCUAACUACGUGCCAGCAGCCGCGGUAAUACGUAGGGUGCAAGCGUUAUCCGGAAUUAUUGGGCGUAAAGGGCUCGUAGGCGGUUCGUCGCGUCCGGUGUGAAAGUCCAUCGCUUAACGGUGGAUCCGCGCCGGGUACGGGCGGGCUUGAGUGCGGUAGGGGAGACUGGAAUUCCCGGUGUAACGGUGGAAUGUGUAGAUAUCGGGA